GAUCGCGGCUGACAGGCCGAAAGGCGUCAGCUGAGGAAAGUCCGGGCUUCACAGGGCAGGAUGCCGGAUAACGUCCGGUGGAGGCGACUCCAAGGCCAGUGCAACAGAAAUAAACCGCCUGCAGACGCAGGUAAGGGUGGAAAGGCAGUGUAAGAGACUACCGCCCCUCUGGCAACAGAGGGGGCACAUGUAAACCCCAUCCGAAGCAAGACCGAAUCGAAAGCAAUGUGGCUGCCCGUCACGCUUUCAGGUGGGUCGCUUGAGCCUGCCGGCGACGGCAGGACCAGACAGAUGAUCAUUCACGACAUAACCCGGCUUACCGUUCUGCUUG
rnacentral:RNase_P_RNA from 1 species